rnacentral:lncRNA from 1 species
AAUUUUUAAACUACAUGUACAAAAUCCUAGCGUAUUCUAACAUGGCCAUGGACUUUAGGACUCAAUCUCAUGAUCCACAUAGGACUACUCCUCUUCUACUGAGGUUGAUAGAUCCCAUCUUGAUGCAAUCCAAUUCCUACAAUGAAUAUACUAUAGCCAAUAUACACCUUAAGGCUCUAUAUGGCUAGGAGAUUGAGUUAUGGUGUAGUUAAACUACAGCACCCUCAAGGUAAACUGUUGAUGCACC